ensembl:lncRNA
CCGCGCUCUGUGCUCACAGCCUCGGUGAAAGGAAGCUAGGCGGGAGAUGUCCAGCUUCUCAAGGAGGUCACCCGGUGCCAGAGUGAGGGGACGUGCAGAGAGCAAGAGCUUGGGCGGCCCUGAGGGCAUGCUGCUUUGCCUAUCCUUGAGCUUUGGGGUGGGGUCCUGUCUUCUGCACCCUCUGGCUUUAAGAUCUUGUGCACGUUAACCGUUAACCGGUCAUGAUGCCAGCUGCGCGAGGGCGGAUGAGAGCGGAGAACAAGCUCCCAGGUCCCAGAAUCCAAAGCUCUGAAAACCAAGUCUGGUUUGGCAUCAAAACUCAUCUGGCAGAUAAUUCUGUCCUGAACUGACACAUGGUUAUUUAUAGCUUUCACUUAUUCCACUUAGUUGAAUAUUCAUAUGGUUCAUUGCAAAAAUUUUACAUGUUAUGAAGUAUUAUACGCACAUUACCUUUCAAAAUGUACAAACUUUCAAUUCCAAAUCUGGCUUCUUACAGGGUUUCAUAAGGAAUUACAGACCACUAUUAGAUGCAUCCUAUUUUUUAGAGUGAAAGUAAAUAGUAGCUGUGGUUUGUUAAUAAAAAUUUUAAAAUGUUACUUCUGGAUAAAAUAAAAUGCUGGCAACCCUAGG